CAAAACCGCGAGGUAGAGCAAAACCCUAAAAGCGGUCUCAGUUCGGAUCGCAGGCUGCAACUCGCCUGCGUGAAGUUGGAAUUGCUAGUAAUCGCGGAUCAGCAUGCCGCGGUGAAUACGUUCCCGGGCCUUGUACACACCGCCCGUCACACCAUGGGAGCCGGUAAUACCCGAAGUCAGUAGCUUAACCGCAAGGGGAGCGCUGCCGAAGGUAGGAUUGGCGACUGGGGUGAAGUCGUAACAAGGUAUC
rnacentral:rRNA from 1 species